rnacentral:rRNA from 1 species
ACAAUGAAGAGUUUGAUCCUGGCUCAGGAUGAACGCUGGCGGCGUGCUUAACACAUGCAAGUCUAGGAAAGGCUUCGAGCUUGCUUGAAGCUGAAACUGGCGAACGGGUGAGUAAUACGUAGAUAAUCUGCCCGGAGGCGGGGGAUAACGUCGAGAAAUUGACACUAAUACCGCAUAUAAUCUUAGAUUGAUUUUUUAAGAUGAAAGAGGGCUUCGGCUCUCACCUUCGGAUGAGUCUGCGUCUGAUUAGCUUGUUGGUGAGGUAAUGGCUCACCAAGGCUACGAUCAGUAGCUGGUCUGAGAGGAUGAUCAGCCACAUUGGGACUGAGAUACGGCCCAGACUCCUACGGGAGGCAGCAGUGGGGAAUUUUGCGCAAUGGGGGUAACCCUGACGCAGCAACGCCGCGUGACCGAUGAAGCAUCUAGGUGUGUAAAGGUCUGUCGUUAGGGAAGAAUC